CGCGUUCAGCCCGACCCCCCGGGGCUGAACCCGACGGCCCCAGCCUCCUCCCCCCCCGGCUGGGGCCGUCCUCU
rfam:Nocardia cyriacigeorgica GTH-2 chromosome complete genome